UACAGAGGGUGCAAGCGUUAAUCGGAAUUACUGGGCGUAAAGCGUGCGUAGACGGUUAUUUAAGUCAGGUGUGAAAGCCCCGGGCUCAACCUGGGAAUUGCAUUUGAGACUGAAUAGCUAGGGUGCGGAAGAGGGAAGCGGAAUUUCCUGUGUAGCGGUGAAAUGCGUAGAUAUCGGAAGGAACACCAGUGGCGAAAGCGGCUUCCUGGUCCAGCACCGACGUUCAGGCACGAAAGCGUGGGGAGCAAACAGG
rnacentral:rRNA from 1 species